rnacentral:lncRNA from 1 species
CCUCAUCAAAUGAAGGUGGCAGAAGUGUGGCGACCUAGCAUAGAUGUUUCACAGCCUCAAGGCUUGCAGAAUCAGAGAAGUCAGAAGCCUGCUAUGUAUAAUAUGUAGGCAUGUCUUCUUACUUCAUGAGUCUCUAUCUACUUUCCAGUAGGCAAAUUUUUGUAAGCAGACUUAUCUUACUUGAGAAUCCUCGCUUCUUUCCAGAUUUCUUGAGAAAAGUGAUCCCAAUGGUAACUCUGAAGUUGAUGAGUGCGCUAGGAUGCUAAAAGAUGCAGCUGAAAGCUUGAUUUCAUAUUUUAUUUAAAAUAAUAGUCAGUGCUAUUACUUGCUGGUAGUGACUGCAAAAUGUUUGAAUUUUUCACUUUUUAGCACAAAACGCGGCUAUAGAAGAGUACUGGGGAAAGUGACACCAGGAACAUUAAAAAUUCCAGGAGUACAGAGUAAAGAAGCCCUACUUCCAGAUAUUAGCUUAUGCUGAUAAACACAAAAAUGAAAUGAUAAUUGCUGCUAACCAAGGCAAGCCCAGCAUCUUCUCCCUUCUUUAAAGCUUCAUCUAUCUCUGGGUCACCAGAGUGAUUCUUUGCCCAAUCAUAUAUAGUUUAUGGUCAUUGGUCAUCAUAACAUCUACAUUUUAGCGCUGGGUAAUGAAAACAGAACAGAACAUGGUAAAUUUAACUGAAUAUGUCCCACAAAUAUUUGUACGACGGAUGCUAGUUUAACUCGAACCAAUUGCACUAAAUAGAAUAGAACACUUGAAAGAAGGUAAAAUCAGCCUCCGCAACAACGACUUUCACUAAGUAGAAGGACAUUCCCUUCCCCAGCAGCCCCACACCAAGACCUCGAUGUGAGCUUCUGCUAAAAAUCAUAAAAUGAAAUGUGGCUUUACAGAAGAUAAUGAUUUUCCAACAAUGUUAGAAUAUCAGAACUGAUCCAGUUCAAAGAACGGAAAGGUAAAGAAGGUGGACCUGUGGGAAAGACUCCCGCAGUGCACUGCCUAACACAAAGUUCUUUAUUGUUUUCUCGGAUAUAGAGAAUAACUAAAUAUUUCAUAUUUUUAUAUUAGGUUUUUUAAACAUUUUUUCCACUCUAUAAGUCUCCACUGAUUAGACUGAAAUAGAGUCCAGUAAAUUAAUGGCCGAUUGAAUUUUUUUUUGAGGUUUGGCGGCCAUCUCUUUUUCUGUUCCGCUGGUACUAUAACAAAAUUCUGCAGAUACCUUGGCAACAGUAGCGGAAUCCUUAACACAAACCAGUAACGCAAGUACAUGGUAGCUAAGAAUAUAUAGGGGCUAACUUGGAGCAAGAGAACUCCUUUAGGUAUUACCAUUAUUAUUGUCAAGCACAUCUACCAGAAUCUUUUUUUAAGGGAGAAACAUGACACUAGCCAAUUUAUUUAGUUCUCAUCAGUAAAUAAAAACAGGUACUAAAAUAGUUAUCCAGAAAGGGUAGCUUCCUAGUUGUAAUCAUACCUAAUUGUAGAACUCCGGGUACGAUUUAGUGUGAACGACGCACCUUCUGAACUCCUGACCUCCAGCCAGAACAAUCAAAUUGAUCAACAUAUUGGAUUGGCCUGCUUGGGACGUAGCUAGUAAGUCAGCUAUCUUGAUUGGGACGUAGCUAGUAAGCCUCAUGAAAUCAAUCCAGUGGCCUGCUUGGACGUAGCUAGUAAAUCAAUCCAGC